rnacentral:rRNA from 5 species
CUAUGUGCGGAAGGGAUAAGUGCUGAAAGCAUCUAAGCAUGAAGCCCCCCUCAAGAUGAGAUUUCCCAUAGCGUAAGCUAGUAAGAUCCCUGAAAGAUGAUCAGGUUGAUAGGUUCGAGGUGGAAGCAUGGUGACAUGUGGAGCUGACGAAUACUAAUAGAUCGAGGACUUAACCAUAUAA